CCGAGAACCUUCUAGAGCCACAUAACUCACCACGCACUAUUGACCUGAGCUCUAGAACAGGUUUCCUAAGUUUCAGAACUCUAGGUCUGAUGGUUCUUUAAUAGUUUCAACAAAGGUAACUAUUGCAGGCUCUGUUUGUCUCUACGCACCACACUGUGUCCCUCCGUCCAAGCUGUGUGUGUGUGUGUGAGUUUUUCUUGGAAAUCUUAUUCGAGACAUGACUUAUUUACAGUUCAUGAGGGUUGCCUAAUCGCACAUAUGAAGUUUUGGAAAGAUCUGACUUUUUUAACCCUUCGAAACAGCCCCUAUGACACCAAUUAUGGCACUUCCGGUUGGCACAGGAAGCGAAAAGUAAAAAUAUCCUCAUUGGGGUAUGCUUUUACAGAAUCCUGUGUUAUAAGUCUUUGCGUUAAGAACUGACUGAUUUACACAGGGUUGAAUUCACUAUUUCUAUCAAACAUCAGGUUGGGUAUGGAAAAACACUUUUAGGGUGAUUUUAACCACUUCCAGUUGCUCCAGGAAGCUUAGAAUCGACACAGGUAGACCUCAUAGUGGCCUGAUGGAUUGUCAUCGAAGACCGGUUCAUAAGACAUUCAUAACCCACAUAGGCUUCAGGUUGAAUUUAGGGGUGCAGGCAAUGUAUUCCUAUGGGUAGAGAAGUCAUUGAAAACUGUUUGGUGAAAAAAAACUGUUUUAACUGUUAAGGGUUAAUGCCACACGGUCAAGUUUAGGCUUGCACAGAUCGGGAGGACCUUAGGAACAUUCCUGUGGUUGAAUUGUCCUUCUAAACCUAACGGUUCCGCCGCUGUCACCCAAAAGCAAAUGACGUUGUGUGGCAUGGUCGCUGCGCUUAGACCGAGUGAGCUACGGUCAAGCGGGGCAUCUCGUUGAAUUCGGCACGGCCUAGAGAUUAUGAUGACAUUGCAGGCUCUGAGUUUCUUUCAGCACUGCACUUUGUCAGUCCAUCCUUGCUGUGUGUGUGUGUGUGAGAGAGAGAGAGCUUUUCUUUGACAUCUGUAUUCUAGGUGAUGUAGUGGUGUAAUAAUGUGUUGUAUUGUAGGUGAUGUAUUGGUGUAAUAAUGUGUUGUAUUGUAGAUAUGUAGUGGUGUAAUAAUGUGUUGUAUUCUAGGUGAUGUGGUGGUGUAAUAAUGUGUUGUAUUGUAGGUGAUGUAUUGGUGUAAUAAUGUGUUGUAUUGUAGAUAUGUAGUGGUGUAAUAAUGUGUUGUAUUCUAGGUGAUGUAGUGGUGUAAUAAUGUGAUGUAGUGGUGUAAUAAUGUGUUGUAUUGUAGGUGAUGUAGUGGUGUUGUAUUGUAGGUGAUGUAGUGGUGUAAUAAUGUGUUGUAUUGUAUGUGAUGUAGUGGUGUAAUAAUGUGAUGUAUUGUAUGUGAUGUAGUGGUGUAAUAAUGUGUUGUAUUGUAGGUGAUGUAGUGGUGUUGUAUUGUAGGUGAUGUAGUGGUGUAAUAAUGUGUUGUAUUGUAGGUGAUGUAGUGGUGUAAUAAUGUGAUGUAUUGUAUGUGAUGUAGUGGUGUAAUAAUGUGUUGUAUUGUAGGUGAUGUAGUGGUGUUGUAUUGUAGGUGAUGUAGUGGUGUAAUAAUGUGUUGUAUAUGUGAUGUAGUGGUGUAAUAAUGUGCCUUAAGGCUCAGAACAUUCUUAGUCAAAGGUCAGGAAUUAACAGUGACCCAUUAAGCCAUGCAGAGACAUUCUCCAUCAGCAUGCCAGCUUUCCAUGUCAAAUUUGUCCUCAUUCAGUGCUGCCAGACAAAAAUGCAUCCAGUUACACGUUUUUUGAUGUUGUGGCUAUUGUAAUCGACUCUAAGGCAAGUGGGCUCAGACACUGAAAACGGUAUGUUUUUCCAGGCAAAGGUUCCUCUCUGGAUUGUAUAUAUACAGCUCUUGCGAUUAUUUUAGGGGAUGUGACAAAUGUAAAAAUGUCCUUAAGGUUUAACCAGACUUUUUUCUCUCUCAUUUAAUCAUUUGUAAUAAAAUCAUAGGAUAACGUGAAUUCAAAAUUCAGAUACGAUCGCCUAUGACCACUAGGGGGCAAUUCAUUUCAAUGUACCGUUGUCUCGACCACCUACCAGCUAGAUGGCGCUCACCUUACUGCUGUCCCCGACCCACUCAGCAACAAUGGUAUUAAUGCCGAUUUAGGUUCUCUGUUGUGUUCCUUUCCUCCAUGUUCUCAGUGGUCAGUACUUCUCAUCAAGGUAUCAAGGUCGUUGCAGUGAUGUAUGACAGCGUGUUCAUAACAAUCUGUUGUUAACGCGCUUUGUACUUGCAGAGCAAUCAUUGUACAAUUUCUCCAUCUGGGCCAUCACAGUCUUGUAGUCUGGUUCUAGAUAUGCCAUCAGGUUAUUGAAGCCGACGUCUAUCCGCAUAACAACUGCAAUCAUGUAAUCAGCUCUGUGGUUUUUCUCACUCUUUUUUUUCUAUUUUUCCGGGCAAGUCAGUUAAGAACUAAUUCUUAUUUACAAUGACGGCCUUGGAACAGUGGGUUACCUUGUUCAGGGGCAGAACGACAGAUGUUUACGUUGUCAGCUCGGGGAUUCGAUCUUGCAAACUUUCGGUUACUAAUCCAACGCUCUAACCACUAGGCUACCCUGCCACCCCAAAGCUCUAACCACCAGGCUACCCUGCCACCCCAACGCUCUAACCACUAGGCUACCUGCCGCCCCAACGCUCUAACCACUAGGCUACCUGCCGCCCCAACGCUCUAACCACUAGGCUACCUGCCGCCCCAACGCUCUAACCACUAGGCUACCCUGCCACCCC
ensembl:lncRNA